rnacentral:rRNA from 1 species
AUUGAACGCUGGCGGCAUGCCUUACACAUGCAAGUCGAACGGCAGCGGACCUUCGGGUGCCGGCGAGUGGCGAACGGGUGAGUAAUAUAUCGGAACGUACCUUUCAGUGGGGAGUAACGUAGCGAAAGUUACGCUAAUACCGCAUAUUCUGUGAGCAGGAAAGCAGGGGAGUCGCAAGACCUUGCGCUGAUUGAGCGGCCGAUAUCAGAUUAGCUAGUUGGUGAGGUAAAGGCUCACCAAGGCGACGAUCUGUAGCGGGUCUGAGAGGAUGAUCCGCCACACUGGAACUGAGACACGGUCCAGACUCCUACGGGAGGCAGCAGUGGGGAAUUUUGGACAAUGGGCGCAAGCCUGAUCCAGCCAUGCCGCGUGAGUGAAGAAGGCC